AUGGAUUAACACCCAUUCAUUUGUAAUGUCACCUGGUGGUGUGCAUGCAUCUGGCAGGUAUGGUUCCCAUGGUCUUCAAAGAGAAAAUGCUUAGCACAUGAGCUAGCACUGCUGCCCGGUUCAGGUCCUGAGCCUGCUCCUUCUUACUCCCUAUGUGGCCUUGGUGAGGUUACUCUACCUCUCUGAACCUCGGUUUCCUUAUCUCUAAGUGGCGAUAGUAAUACCCCUCUUGAAAGGUUGUGGUGGGGCCACGUGGAACAGUCCUGGAAAACGCAUGUAAAAUGCGGUCAUGACUUCAAGAGGGGCGUGUUCAUGUCCCUGUCCAUCCACACUCUACCUGACACCUGCUGUUUCCAUGAUGACCAGCCCAUCUCCAUGAAUGCAACUCAGCUUUCCCUUUGCUGAAGCCAAAAAACUUGGCAUCAUCGUUGACUCCGUUCUCCUCAAACAGCCGUGAAAUACUGUUGGCGGGUUGUCCCGGCUUCACCUGCUCCACCCCUCUGCUGACCCUGGUCAAAGUUGCCAGCAUCUCCUACCUGCAUCUCAACUCCUACCUGGUCUCCCUGUUUCCAUCCUUGACUCCACAGCAUGAUCCUUUGGUGGGAUUAGCUUGUUUGUAGAUCGUUUUUAUUUUUUUAAGCAAAUACUUAAAUGGUGCUCCCUAGGUGCCAGGCACAAGUCUGAGUGCUUUACAGAUUUCAACUCACCUGGAUUCUUACAACAGCCCCAGGAAGACAGUACUUAACUGAAGUCACCCAUCUAGUCAGUGGCAGGGCUGGGGUGGCCAUCUGGCUCCUGAUUGGUGCUGCCAACAGUGAUCCUCUUAAAACACGUCAGAUUGUGUCCCUGCUCUGCUCAGACCCUCCAGUGGCUUCUUGUGGGCUCGGAGUAAAAGCCAAAUCCUCACCAUUCUGCUCUAGCUACGUUGGCCUUAAACACCGCAAGCCCACUCCUGCCUCAGGGUCUCUAUGCUUGCUGGUUUGCUUUCAUGUCCUCAGCCCAGCCAGCCCUGAUUUUCUCAGGGCCAUGAGCUCUGUUAAUGUCCAUGAGUUUGGACAUUAUCUGAAGGGAAUGAGGAAUCCACUAAGGAGCAUGGAAAAAAAGUCACGUAAUGUGAUGUGCCGGAGCUUGUACUUGCUCACCAGGGCCAAUUGUUAAAUUUUUAGGAGAUUCGCAAGCUGAGUGUUAAAUCAUGGUAGCUUGAAAUUCAAAAACAGGUGAGAGAGAGCAUUUACACCAUGGAAGUUGGCAAGCACUACAAAUCGUGGCUCCCCUCCCACCCUGCCUCCCCAGAGAGUUGUCGUUAAGUAUUUACCAGCACGCCAGUGGUUUUGACAAAGGUUUGUAUGAAGUGCAAGUAAGGUGUUAACUUACUAAGUGAGGACAGGCUUCCCAGAAGACCUGGCAUUUAAACUGGGUCCUGAGACAUCAGUAGGCACUUGCCAAAGGUGAGAAGGCAUCCCAGACUGAGCAAACCAAGUGAGGAAAAGCACAAAGGUAUGAAAUUUCCCUUUGGGGUUAUUAAGUACUGCAGGGUGGCAAUGGUGUGUGGAGGGGAGGAGGAGGGGGAAGGCACGUUGUAUGGAAAGAGAACAGCAGAGACAGGCUGGAGGUAGAUUGUGUGAGAACCUCAAGACCAGGUAAGGGGCUUGGACUCUCUCCUGGGGUCCUCAGGAGCCAUGGCAGGUUGUGGAGCAGGGGUAGGUCAAGGCAUUGCUGAACAAUGCAUGUUAGCAAGCCUAUUCUGGUUGUCAUGUGGAGAAUGCAUCAGAGAUGGGAGGUCAGGCACUGUUUGGAACCAGUUCACUUUGCAUGCUAAUGGUGAGGGUUAGGAGUAGAUGAUACAGACAGUGCCUGCCUAUGGAUAUUCCCUUACAGCUCUGAGGGAAGACUUGUCCCAUGGAGGUCCCAUGAGCCUCUUUUUGGGGGGUUAGUUCACUGCCAAUUGCAAAGCUUUCUGGGAAACAAGAAAAUUGCAGUGAGUCCUCUUGUAAGGGAGCGUGUAAGAGGGUUGUCAUCCAUCUGACAUUGGGACCUCCCUCUCUUGGGACCCAGGCUCCAUGCACAGUCAGUCCCGGGAAGGCCAUAGGAAGUGGGUGGAAAUAAUAGCAAGUGUGGGCACUUUCUAACUGUAGACUGUUCAAGGCUCUUUAUGUGUGUUCAUGCCUUUGGUUCCCCAGCGUGCCAUUGGGGGAGGAACAGUUGUCAUCCUCAUCUUACAAAUGAAACAGAGAUUAGGCAACUUGUGCGAGGGCCAGCCAGUGCACAGAAGAGCUGGACUCCAACCCUAGAGACCAUCCUCUUUACUGCCAUCCUAUGCUGCCUCUCUGUUUUCAGAUACAAUGGUUCUUAUUUUUGCAAUGGCCACAGCUCCUACUUUUAUUUUCCAUUUUGUAUGUAGAGAAGCUGAGGUUCAAGGAGAUUUCACGGUUGUCCCGGGCCAGUGAGCAGCAGAGCUGGCCCUCAAACCCUGCAGCCUGAGCCCCGCCUUCCAGGAAGGAGGGAGACAAGAUGAGAGAAGGAAGUAUUACUGCGCAUUAAGCACUGGUCUACGGCAGCGGUUGUCAACCCUGGCUGCACAUUGUUUUUUCUGCCCUAUGAUGGAGGUGUGUGCUUUCCGUGGAUAAAAGUUCUCUCCCUUCUUUCUUCUGACCUCUCUCCUCUCCAUGAGCCUCGGGGGCCAGUUCACGCAGAGCCGGGGACCCCAGGCCCACCCUUGACUGGUGGGUUGGGAACAGCACUGACCUGGGUGGUCAAGACCAGUAUGGAUGUGUGUUCUGCUGCCACAGGCUGCCCUUAAGAGACAGAGGGUGGGCGCUGUGGUUAUUCCCGUUUUGCUGGUGAAGACAGUGAAGCUUGGAGAGGUGAAGAAGCUAGGUUGUGCAGUUUGUGAGUGGAGGGGCCCGGAAGGGAGCCCUAGCAGACUGAUGUCAAGCCCUCCCACAGCUAGUCAUUGUGCCACAUGGCCGCCACCAAGUGUGUUCCUUCGUGGAAGUGGGACCUUCAUGAACCUCAUGUGUUUCCCUGGCCUCAUAGUCAAAACACCUGGGGCUCAUCCCCAGCUCCUCCACAGGCUGGUGUGUGACUGGGGCUCUUUUACCCGCGUGAUGGUGACACUGCUUCACUGACCGUUAGGUUUAGAGUCCCUCCUUUUGGACCAGGAUGCAUCGUGGUAAAUGCCUUGGCCAACAGAGUACAAUGGAAGUAAUACUAUGUGACUUCUGAGACUGGAUCAUGAAAGUGUCCGCCUGCCUCUUUCCCUCAAUCUUGAGACAUGUGCCCCGGGGAGCCUUGUGUCAACAGGCCCUGUGGGGGAAGAAGGACCAUCAGAGGUUGGAGGAAGGUGACAUUCAAGCUGCUGAGCUAGAGUUUGAGGAUUGACACCUGGUUGCGGGUAAGUCUUUGCAACCCAUUGGCCAUGGGAUAAUCACCAUGUAUUCACUCUGCCCGAUGGAAGCCUGAGAGGUGGGGCUUGUAGAGUUUAGGUCUCAACUUACUUACUUACUGUGUAAUCUUGGGCAAGUUAUUUAACCUCUGUGAGCCUUGGUGGCUUACUUAAAACAGCAUUUAUCUUAGGGGCCCGUUGUGAGAAUUGAAUGAGACGAGGCGUAGAAAGAAACUACUUGGCUCUGAUGUACAGCAAGCACUCAAUGCUUAUUAGAUAUUGUCUAGGAGGAACCUAUAUACAUAUGUGGAAACUGCAAAGUCGGGGCAAUGAUCUGAAUCUGUGCUGCCCCAAACCAGGUAAUUGGUGGUGUUUUUUCUUUUCCUUUUUCUUUCUUUCUUUCUUUUUUUUUUUUGUUCGUGUGCAUCUGGAUGUUUUGACUACCCAGUUUUCAGAACUGAAAAAAAGAAGGGUGGUGUUGUUGAGACCUGUUUAUCUCAGUUUGUGGUCCUACUCGGUCCUGGUAGGCCUCUUGGUGUCUGAACCAGGGGAAAAUGCACCCUCCCACUGUGUGCUGAAAAUAUUGGCAAAUGCAGAGCCAGACUUUGCAUCCCCUGCUCACAGCAGAAACCCACUGGGCCAGGACAGCCCUCCUUCCCCUGUCCUCCGUAAGAAACAGUUUAGAUCAUCACCGUGGUGGUGGCUACCCUUUACCAGUGUUAACCGUGUGCCGGGAACUUGACGCCUUCGAUGGCCCCAUAAGGCAGCCACUAUUCCCAUUCCGGUUCUGCAGACCAGCAGAUUACGCCCCAGUGUGUUUAAGUUACUUGUCCAGAAAGUGGCAGAGCUGGGAUUCAAACCCAGGCCAGCCGGGUGUCAGCAGCCCCAUGCUUACCACUGAACCAUGCUCUCUGCAGGACACUCUAGCUUAACGAGGAAGCUUGUUUGGCAGAGGGAGUGAAAUGGCAAAUGUGUAAGUCAGGGCCCGUGAGAAACUGUAGAGGGAUCAGAGCAGCGUUCUUGUUCUUACUCCCUGCUGCGCGCCUGAAUUGCCCGAGGAGCAUUCAUGAGCUAGAGAGGUCUGGUCCUGACCCCCUGAAAUUCUGGAUCUCUGGAUUGAGGAUGGAGCCAGAGCUUCCCAGGUGGUUCUGAUAGGCCUCCAGGCUUGAGGACCACUGAGGAGAGGAAGAGGUUUGGGAGGGAUUUAGCAAAUUCCUUGUGGUUAGAAACUUUUCCAUUCCCUUCUUGGAAGUGGCUGAUUCACAUUCCAGGUAGUGCACCUUUGUCUCAGUAUCUCCAUUUGCAGCGUGUGGGCAAUGGAGCUUGACAACAUUGCAGAGCAUUGGGUGGAUAAACAGCUUGUAGAGGGCCAUUUACAUGGGAAGCAUUGGGAGAAAGUGCUCCUGGGGCUUUGAAGUGACCCGAUUUCAGUUUCCAUGUGGUGGUGCUCUGGGCCACAUCCCAGCGCUUCUGGAUUAUCAGCAAGUAGGUAGUCCCGUGGGACCAAGGUGCAAGGUGUUUGCUUGCAGAGCCUGGGGUAAGUGGGGAACUCUGAUUGCCCCAUCCUUUGGUUGAAGAACAGUGUGAGCUGACACAUAAUUAGAACCAUUAACUGGCUCUCAAUAUGGAGAAUGAGAUUUGUGGCUCCCUCUUACAAAGGAUAUAUGAAACAGUAAACACACUUCCAGUUAUGGAUGGGGCUAAACACACCAUUAAACUGAAUGCUAAUGGCUGUCUCCUGCUUCCUUUGAACAUUUCACCGUGGCAACCAGCAGGUGCCCUUUUCUUGCCUUCUCUUUCAUCUUCCCAUAAUUCUCUCCUGCCAUGGCUUUGUGGAUGAUAAUGGGCACAUGCCUGAAAUAGCAGUUAUAAAGAGAAUUAGAAUUAAA